AAGCUGCAUCGAACCCUUAGCAGA
rnacentral:piRNA from 1 species